rnacentral:rRNA from 1 species
UUGUAUGGUCGUUAACAUUGAUGGUUUUAUACCCAAACCAUCCGCCUGGGAACUACGAGCAAUAGCUUAAAACCCAAAGGACUUGGCGGUGCUUUAGACCCGCCCUAGAGGAGCCUGUUCUAGAACUGAUAACCCCCGUUUAACCUCACCAUCCUUUGUUUUCCCCGCCUAUAUACCACCGUCGUCAGCUUACCCUGU